AGCCCGUCUGACCGCAACCAAACCUCUUUCUCUCUCCUCUCUCUCUCUCUCUCAAAAAUGAAAUCCCUAAAAUCGCUGAAAUCGUCUCCAAAAUUUUCCGAUCCCUAAAAUCGCCGUGGCCAAGAUCUCGUCGCUGUUUUCGCAUCGGAUCUCAUCUCCAAGCUCCUCUCCGAUCUCUCCGAUCUCGUCGCCGUUGGUUUCGUCGUCGAGCUAGUCCCCGUUUUCUAGGGUUUGCCAUUCUCUCCAAUCUCUCCGAUCUCAUCUUCGAGCUACUAAUCUCGUCGUCAUGCUACUCUCGUUGCCAUUCCAGUCUUGUUCGUCAUCGUCAAGCUACUAAUCUCACCGUCAAGGUGCUGCGGAUAACGUCGUCAAGCUACUAAUCUCGUCGAUCCCUGAGUCAUCAACUUACGGACGCAAGAGGGUUGGCACGCGCAAGACCCUUGUGUUCUAUAAAGGAAGGGCUCCUCACGGUCAGAAGUCUGAUUGGAUUAUGCAUGAGUAUAGGCUGGAUGAGUCCAACUCUCCGUCCUAUGUACAAGUUGCCAACACGAUGGGAGAAGCAAAUAAUCAAGAAGACGGAUGGGUGGUUUGCCAAGUCUUCAAGAAGAAGAAUCUCCUGCACAAGUCCUCCGACAGCCCAAACAACAGCACCCCAUCCAUCACCGUCGAUGCCAAAACUCACUUCCUCCUCCAUUCCCAGAGCGACAGCGCCCUGGAUCAAAUCCUACAGUACAUGGGGAGAUCUUUCCAAUUAAAUCUCAAGGACUACUUUUUAGUUCUACCAUUUUGAGUGUUCAUAAUGUCUAUCUCCAUUUCAGGCACUGCAGAGGACUCUUGAAUUUGAGGAAGAAUUGGCAGAGAAAUUUGGACCAUGGAACUUCGCUUCUAUAUACACAUAUGCUACUUCUCUAUCUGCGAGUCCUAUAUUGUUGAUGGUUUUCUAGUUAUAGUUUAUGCUAUAAAUAGUAGCAUGUAUACCACCAAAAUGGGAUCAGGUUCGUAACGCCCCUUGAUUUGGGAGCGAAAGGAAGCUGUCAAAUUGGUGGAAACAUAUCAACAAAUGCGGGAGGCUUGCACUUUAUACGCUAUGGAUCACUUCAUGGAAAUAUUCUUGUACCAUUUUGCUCAGGCAUGUACCCAUGAUUGUUCAGCUUGGAGGCUCGCUUUCACGAAUGGGCAAUUAAGGCCUCGAAGUUGUCCUAGCUGAUGGAACCAUUCUUGACAUGCUUACAACUUUACGCAAAGCCAAUACAUGAUACGACUUGAAGCACUUAUUCAAAGCCAAGAUAAGUUACUGAAUCUUCAAGAAAAUAAGGUAUCUGAACACUCUGACGUCAGUUACUGGCCUUAUGAUCAGCAUAGUAAACCUUGUUCUAUAAGGCAAAAAUAUAGAAGAUAAUGAUUAUAUUAAUCAAGUAAUAAAGGAAUUCUCUGUAUGCAAAGUAAAAAUGCCACUGGCAACAGAUUAUCAUAUAAGUAACAUCAGGGAGAUGAUAAUGUGUGCGUGCAUGCGUGUGGUUGUGCGUGUGUGUGUCUGCAUCUGCGUGUUCAUGUGCAUGUGCUUGAGAUGAUGAUAUGUGUGCCAUUGUAGUAUUUUGGGGAUUAUGCCUGGAGUUUGAUAUUCUACAUACCUCCUGUAGUAAAUGUGCAGACCAUCAAGUUCUUAGCUUAUUGUCUAAUAAUUGUCGAUUGUACGAUCUUUAAUAUAGUUGGGGGAUCCCGACUAAAUUUACAGCGCACUGGCAAGUGGGGGAGCUGAUAAUAUUUGCACAACAUCAUGCAACCCUAGCUCUGAAAUUGUGGCACAAAAUAUUUGAUUGCAUAACAUGAAUUGUCAUUUGAAUGAAAAGCAAAAGGGCUUGUUUGAUGGAGACCCUUAGCAAUCUGUAGCCAUCUAUUUUACUCAAAUGGAAGGUUUUGAUGCAGGUACAGAAAUGAUGAAAGCCAAGAUUGAGAUUGAUACUGACAGGUUCCUAGUGAGUAUUUGACAUUGAGGAACAAGUUUUUGGAAACAAAUAGAGAAUAUAGUCUUUGACCGAGAAGUUUCAUGUUUUGUAAUCAAAUGUUGAUGUACAAUGUUUGAAUGUUAGUUCGGUACGAUAUUUUCUGAGUUGAAAUGUUGGUAGUGUGGAUUUAAUACUUUGUAGUUUUUAUACUA